rnacentral:rRNA from 1 species
AGCGAACGCUGGCGGCAGGCCUAACACAUGCAAGUCGAGCGGCCGUAGCAAUACGGCAGCGGCAGACGGGAUAGUAACACGUGGGAACGCGCCCUUCGGUUCGGAAUAACUCAGGGAAACUUGAGCUAAUACCGGAUACGCCUAACGGGAAAGAUUAUUGCCGAAGGAACGGCCCGCGUCCGAUUAGCUAGUUGGUGAGGUAAUGGCUCACCAAGGCGACGAUCGGUAGCUGGUCNGAGAGGAUGACCAGCAUCACUGGGACUGAGACACGGCCCAGACUCCUACGGGAGGCAGCAGUGGGGAAUCUUGCGCAAUGGACGAAAGUCUGACGCAGCCACGCCGCGUGAGUGAAGAAGGCCU